AUACGGAGGACGCGAGCGUUAUCCGGAUUCAUUGGGUUUAAAGGGUGCGCAGGCGGCCGUGCAAGUCAGCGGUGAAAGCCCGGGGCUCAACCCCGGAAGUGCCGUUGAUACUGCGUGGCUGGAAUGCGGUCGAGGCGGGGGGAACGUGGCGGGUAGCGGGGGAAUGCGUAGAUAUGCCACAGAACGCCGAUAGCGGAGGCAGCUCGCCAGGCCUGCAUUGACGCUCGGGCACGAAAGCGUGGGGAUCGAACAGGAUUAGAUACCCUGGUAGUCCACGCCGUAAACGAUGGGCGCUCGUCGUCGGCGACAGACAGUCGGCGGCCAAGCGAAAGCGAUAAGCGCCCCACCUGGGGAGUACGGUCGCAAGGCUGAAACUCAAAUGAAUUGGCGGGG
rnacentral:rRNA from 1 species